UACGUAGGUGGCAAGCGUUUGUCCGGAUUUACUGGGCGUAAAGAGCGCGCAGGCGGUCGAUCAAGUCGCGUGUGAAAGCCCCCGGCUCAACUGGGGAGGGUCACGCGAUACUGAUCGACUCGAAGGCAGGAGAGGGUAGUGGAAUUCCCGGUGUAGUGGUGAAAUGCGUAGAUAUCGGGAGGAACACCAGUGGCGAAGGCGACUACCUGGCCUGUUUCUUGACGCUGAGGCGCGAAAGCUAGGGGAGCAAACGGGG
rnacentral:rRNA from 1 species